UACGUAGGGUGCAAGCGUUGUCCGGAAUUAUUGGGCGUAAAGAGCGCGUAGGCGGUCCGAUAAGUCGGCUGUGAAAGUCAGGGGCUCAACCCUUGAAAGCCGGCCGAUACUGUCGGACUAGAGUCCGGAAGAGGCGAGUGGAAUUCCCGGUGUAGCGGUGAAAUGCGCAGAUAUCGGGAGGAACACCUAUGGCGAAGGCAGCUCGCUGGGACGGUACUGACGCUGAGACGCGAAAGCGUGGGGAGCGAACAGG
rnacentral:rRNA from 1 species